rnacentral:lncRNA from 1 species
GUCUUUGCUCAGACAGCUGAGGUUGGGAUGGGUUUCCUUUCGGUGAUGGAACUGUGUAAACAGAGGCGGUGGCUACACAGCCCUGGAGACCUGCCUGAAUCUGCCUCUGCACGAAUCUGCCUCUGCACGAAUCUUCCUCACGACCCACUAUUACCUGCCAGCCUGGAGGAGAGAGAGUUCAGGUUCUUCUCCUAAAUCUGCCCCUGCAAAGCCCUGGCCAAGUGACUGAACCUGCUGGGGAUCGGCGUCAGUACAGGGAGUGAGAAAACCAGCUUCAGAGUGAAAGUGGGUGUUGAGGAAGAGCACACGGGGGCGUUCACUGAAGAGAGUGACAUGCAGAGUCCAC